ensembl:lncRNA LINC01018 long intergenic non-protein coding RNA 1018
CCACCGACGAGACGGACUCAGGAGGGGCGAACGGUGGCAGAGGAGAGGGAAGGGUCGCGCCUGGUGGGGGCCUGAGAGCCACCGGGCUGCGGUGCGCGAGUGUGGACACCGCCCCGCCUUCUGCGUCUACAGCCCUGGGUUCUGGGACCUUUGGAAACCGCUUUGGACGAAGCUGAGCAUCUCUUUCCCCACGCUGACCUCCCCCAUAGACUCCGGAUGGGAGUAAAUGAGGCUCCUGGGAAAUCCAGAAACUCUAGAGAAGCUUGUUUGCCAAACCUUGCUUUGGGCGGUGGAGACAGAAUAUCAUGUCCCAGAUCAGCGUGUGGUGACUGUGGAGGCAUUUACACACAGCACACUCCAGCUCUGCCACUGGGCCGGCUGAGGUGGCUGCGGUACACGGCGCCCAUCCUGAGCCCCAGGUUCCUCACAUGUCAACAGCAUGAAAAGUGCCUCUAAGACAUCCACAGGUGUGCAGUGUUAAAGCAGGCAGCGCCUCAGCUUGGUUAGCUCCCUUAAGGACUGCGGCUCCCUUAGGACAAGGCUCUGUCCCUCAGAGCACUGAGUGCGAUCUCAUGCUGGCAUCUUAGAGACAUUGUAUUCACCAGGAUUCUGCCAUGAUUGCCACCUCUGGAGACGUCACAGCCAGCACAGCCAUGACCAGGGAUGAACUUGGCCAUUGUCCAGCAGCACCAUGGGAGGACCAGCUGCUGUAAGUGAAGGUCAUCAUCCAUCUGAUUUGCUGGCUUUUUGCAACUACUGCGGUGGAAGUCUUAGAGUAGCCACCUUCUCUGUACUCAGACCUUCACUUCGCCAGAUGUCAGCACAGCAGUGUCAGCAGCUUCGUCAAACACAAACACCACCACCUCUCUGGAUCAGAAGCACAUGGAAAGCCCACCUUGCAAGAAGACCCAGCUAUUCCAAAAGUACCCAUAUCCCUGUAGCAUCCUCUUAGCUGAAUGUCUCUACUCCUUAAACUUGUACCACUUUGAAGAGUAAAAAUUUAAAUUCAUUCAUAUUAUCAUUUUUUAGUUUUUAGUAUAAGUGGAGCUGUUUAUCGGCCAUUUGUAUGUCCUUUUCUUUUUUUUGCAAAUUACUCCUUUGCCAAAUUUUCUCUCAAAUGACUCAUCUUUUUCUUAUUGAUUUGCAGAAGCUAUUUACAUAUUAUGGAUGUGGGGUGUCUAACAUACACAGCAAAUACUUUGUCCCAGUGUGUCACUUUUUAAAAAAAUUCUUAUAAUGUCUUUCAUCUUUAAAAAAUUAUUAAGCUAUUGUGAGCUUUUAUGCCUUUUCAGUUUAUUUUCUUACAUAGAUAAUUAUAUGAAGUGCAAAUAGGGGCAGUGUUAGUCUCAUCUUCCCAAGGCUGCACCUCAGAUGUGGAAUGUUGACAGCAACAUCUGUUACCUUGUUUCUGUUUUUAGGAUUUUAGCGUUAAGGCCAGGCAUAAUGGUUCAUGCCUGUAAUUCCAGCACUUUGGGAGGCCGAGGUGGGCAGAUCACUUGAAGCCAGGAGUUCAAGACCAGCCUGGCCAACAUGGAGAAACCCUCUCUAUUUUUAAAUACAUUUAAAAUGUUAACAAUUAAAACAAAAUAUUUUACCGUUAGUAUGAUGCUUGAUACAGGAUUUCUGGUACAUACGCCUUAUCAAAUUAAAUAAGUUUCCUUUUACUCUUGUUUAUUGUUAUUUUUUAAAAUAAGGAAUGAAUCUUGGAUUUUAGUGUAUCAAUAAUUAUAUUUUAUUCUUUAACUUCAUAAUAUUCCUUAUAAUUCCUUAUGUCAUAUUAAAGAUGUAAAUUCAUAUAUAUUUUAUCAUACAAAUGAUUAAUAAAUGUAUAAGCAUGUCAUUA